UCUAAGAACAUAUGUGUAAACAUGAAUCUGCGAACGGCUCAUUAUUAACACCCAUAAUCUACCCAGUUUUCGUAUCCAAAACGGAUAUCUGCGUUAAUUUUGGAGCUAAUACGUGCACCAACGUGCUGCUAGCAAUAGUGGCACGCACUUAUUAGAUCAAGGCCGAUUGGGGCAACCCUUUUGGUGACUCUGAAUAAUUUUGCGGAUCGUAUGGUCUUGUACCGACGACGUACUGGUCGAGUGGGUGCCCUAUCAACUAUUGAUGGAAGUCUAUGUGUCUUCCAUGGUUGUAACGGGUAACGGAGAAUAAGGGUUCGACUCCGGAGAGCUAGCCUUAGAAACGGCUAUCACAUCCAAGGAAGGCAGCAGGCGCGUAAAUUACCCACUCUCAAUUCGAGGAGGUAGUGACUAUCAAUAACGAGACAGAUCUCUUUGAGGUCUGUCAUUGCAAUGAGCACAACUUAAAGACUU
rnacentral:rRNA from 1 species